UAAUGAUCAGUCUCUGCAAUUUCAACCUAAAGGGACAUUGCACAAGCUGGCUGUUCAAAAGACAUUAAUUCAAAAAACAAAAUCAACAUGAAACAAACUGAAAUGGUCACUCCAAUCUCUAUAUCCUGGUGAGCUUAUCACAAAAAGCGAACAUUCCUCACUUCUCCUCCAAGGGAAAGUUCUUCCCUCACCACACAGAGAUACCAGCCCUUGAUAAGCAUUGCUUGUGACUAGGUGGAUGAAACAGUCUGCUAUAAUCUAAUACAGGAAAAACACAUACUCAUAAAUUGAUAUGGCUGAAUGAGUUACUCAUUCCUUUUGAGCCUGAGUUUUCUAUAGAAAAUGAAGAUAAGAGCUUUUUUAAUGGGAUUAUUAUGAGGAUG